rnacentral:snRNA from 1 species
GUGCUGUUUUGGCAGCACAUAUACUAAAAUUGGAAUGAUAGAGGAGAUUAGCAUGGCCCCUGGGCAAGGAUGACAUGCAAAUUCGUGAAGCAUUCCAUAUUAAA